AAAAAUCAAACACAAAUAUAUUUAUAUGACCAAUAUAGCAUAUUCAACACAUAUUACCAAUAGUCAUGAACACAUAUAUAUCCAACACAUGUUACCAAUAAUAGCAAGUUUCAUCCGUACAUAUACAUAGUUUCAUCAAUAUUACGCAGUUUCAUCCAUAGGUAGCAAGUUUCACAACGUCAAAACAAAAACUAAAUACAAGCACUCCAUCAACCCAAGCUUCCGUGAUCUUAAGCAAAUCUGUAAAAUGGGAAAGAAGAAAAUUAGAAGAAGAAGACUAGAAGAAGAAGAUUAUUAUGAUGCAGAAAUAUGCAUGGAUUGUCAAAACUUGCAUUAUCCUACUAUCACUAGUACAACAAAGCUGCAGGUUGGCAUAGUUCAUGAACCAUGUACAUCAUGACAAAUACAAUAUCAUCCAAUGCUCGACUAUGAACAAAAUUGAACAAUUACACCUCACAAAGGCAAAGCAUAGAACCAACAAGCAAGUAGGAGGGGUAUAAGAGGACUUGAGGAGCUCACUGGAGGGGGUUCUAGCCUAGGCCGAGCUUCAUCACCAUGGAUGCGGCUAGGGGAAUCAGACGAGUCUACCAUCAUAGGAGCAGCAGCACCACCACCGCCAAAACUGGAAUGACCGGAGCGAAUCACCAUCAUAUGUGUACAACUACCAGUGUUGUAGUACUUGAGGAAGAUGAAUAUAACACAGCUCACACACAUAGGUACAAAGUAAUAGAAUACAGACAAGUUACUAAGUGGAGUAGUAGUAGAAGGGACCUAAGCUAGCACCCAUGCCAAGAGACAUACUACUAGUAAAUUGUUGUUAUGGGUGAGACAAGAGCACAAGUGGUGCUGCUAGAGAGGGAACUAUGGGCACUCGGAAUAAAUUAACAGAGUAUGCAUGCAUGGGAAAACUCAAGAGUAAAAUUGGAAGUAAAUUGAGCCAUCUAAACAGUAAAAAAAAUAGCACAAGCAAGAACAAAAGUUCAGCAAACAGCCGGAUCCACUACGAACUGACUAGCAGUAAAUCCUUCAUGGCUAAAAUAUAAUAACAGAGCAAAAGGAUCGAGAUGGCUCACGCAUCACUCGCCAUGAGCUACCUGGGGAAAACAAUAUGAGCCACAGUUAGCCAAUUUUAGGAUAACACUAGUAAGAUGCCCGUGCGUUGCACGGAACAACAAGAUGCAUGUUGAGAUUGACAUGUGCGCGAGUAGGUCUCAUGUCUAACAGUACUUAUAUCUUUAUCUUACAUCAGAUGUGCAAUCCUGCUCCCCAACAAAAUUACAUUUUUUUGGUUAUGUGCAAAAUUUCAUGAAGAAAAAAAUAUUUGUGAUGCUUUGCACAAUAUUAAACAAAAUCGAUGCUCCAAGAAGCUUUAAAAAUGAUCAAUUUUUGUUUGUCCCGACCACCAUUUUAUGUUAUUCCUUCACGAAAUGGUAUGCACAUCUAUAACACUCCAGCAAAUUUGUAGCCAAAAUAAAUAAGUUUUUUGAAUUUUAUUAUUAUUAUUCUAAUUAUACUAUUCAACUAUAUGUAUGUGAUCUUAGGAAGUCCGUGUCACAUCUUUCUUCUUCUACUUCUAAUUAGAAAUGCACACGUCCGACUCAAAAAUAAAUAAGAAAUGCACACCAAAAUUGAUUGUACAGCUAACAUGCUUUUCUUGGCACACAUGACAUUUUCGUGUAUCAAUACAAAUUCAGACUCAAGUUGUAGUAUGAAUAUAAUCUGUAGCCUGAACAUAAUGUUUGUUUGGCUCCAUGGGGCUCCUGACUAUUCACCUCUUCACAGACUAAUUCAUAGGGUGGAAGGAACACCACAACUACUUCUGCACAUACAGUUACAAGAUUAUAAGGCGUAUAUUAUCUCUUUGCUAUUAUCAAUGUCGAGAUCGUGUUUGAGCAAAAAAACAUACAGUAUCUAAAUGGUUACUCCUCAAGACCAUUCACCACUCAUGACAACAAAAGGUGAAUGGAAGAUUCAGAAAUCAAGUAAGGCUUUUAUGGCCGAGCAAACAGAAUUAAGUUAUGCAGCAGAUGGCAGAGUAUGCAGCAGACCGUUUAAAGCACAAAAUAGGAUGGAUCGUAGCUUGCGUCAUAUUCUUUCUUCAGCAUAACUUCAGGACCAAUAUAUGCCGGAGUUCCAACAAUUGAAUGGUUCAGAAUGAUGAACCAAUGAAAGUAGAAUAGAAAACAACAUGAGUUCAAAUCAUUUAGAAAAUUAGUAUCCAUCCCAACAUCUGUUUGUUACAAGACAGCAAGCAUGGAAGACAUGAAUUUAUGUGGUGUGUUGUGUGCAAUAUACGAAAAGUUAGAGGAAGCCCAAACAUCGAGGAAAAAGUUUAGAAUCCAAGAUUCAUGUCUCGUGCAUACAUUAAUUAGAAAAUUAGACCAUGAAAAUGUUUCCCCACAGCCGUACACCUACAACACUUGAAAAUAUUCUAAUCAAGCAUGUGCCACCAUUUCACACCAGAUAUAUGUUUUAAUGCCCUUACCAAUAGUCUGUGUAUUAACGUGAAGUCGUGAACCCCUUCUAUCCUCGCCACAAAGAUUUUGUUUCUUUGAUCUUGAGGAGGAAAAUUAAUUGAAUCCCCCUUCUCCCUUUUCUACAACUGAAAAUUAAUUGAAUCCCCCUUUGCAGAUCCACAAACAAUUCGUUCCUAAACAUUUCACAAAACACAUGUUUAGGGGACCACGAUUUCAAUCAUGAACGGGUCUGAUACACAACUGUACUCCAAAAAUUGACAAUUGUUUUGAUCUGGUAGGAGAAACACAUGACUUACAGGGGGGUGAGCAUGGUUGGGAUGGUCAUAGUGGCUCGAGGUAGUUGACACCAGCGCGGCCGGGAACAAGCAGAUCGCCCCGGAAAAACUCCUCCGCAUCUGCAGUGCCCAUGAUGACUCAUGGCGUUCGAGGCACGGAAGAAAGGGACUCAUGUUGGAGGUUGAGAACCAGAGCCUGCAUAAAAUGGAAUCAACCCAUUAGCCACACACAGAAAACAAAGUACUUACUAUAUACUCCACUAUCCUCCCCGUCUCCGAUGACCUGCGUAGCCAGGUCUAGAAGGAGAGGUCGUUGGUAAAGCACGAAGCCAAAUGUAAUAACGCUAUAGGGAGCAGUAGUAGUUAGCAAAUUCAGCAGCAGCAAACACACCGAUGCAGCCCAAGCUCGUCCUGUUCCAGAUCGAGCACUCUCAACACUGCCUCCUCUUCCCAACACACCCCUUCUUCAACCACCAGACACAGCAGCAGCAGAGGAUCUCGUCCUAUGGCAGCCUCCGGUCCCGCGACUUCUUCUCCAGCUGCCUCGCCAGGCGAGGAGGGGCGGCUGCCUCACCUUGUGGGGCUCGGGCCCAUGUCGGCGAGGGGCCUGCGGCCGGCAGGCUGGCGCAGCCCACCAUGCGACCCUGGGUCACGUGCUGGAGGAGAGCCGACAGAGUCGAGCAGGGGGAACCCCUCACAAAAAAAGUCGAGCAGGGGGGGCGAUGUGGCGGCGCCUGCUGUAGGAACAUAGGACGUAGGCGGCGGCAAUGGACUUGGCAGCGAGGUUGGGCUCUUGGUAGACUGGAUCCAGAGCGAGGGUAAGUCCGGGAGGCAACGGAGGAGAGCAGUGACGCGAGAUCCAGGCGGGGGAAGUCCGUUAUGCCCUGAGUGCGGCCGCGGCGGCGGCGAGCGUGCGCGAGCUGGAGAGGAUGGAGUGGCGGCGAGAUUGCAUCUGGGGCGGCGACAAUGGAGUGGGAUGGGAUAGGGUUUGGGUGGUUGGGCUGCCCGGGGGGUGGGGGUUCUUUUUCUUUUUUUCUCUUUUUUUUUUGUUUACAUAAAUGGGAUGGAUGGAUGGAUGGAUGGAUGCCAUGUCAUCAAUCCAUGACACAAACAUUUUAAUCAAUGAGAACAAAAAUAACCUCACAGUUUUUUUUACCUGAAAAAAAAUUACCCCAUCUCUUUGCCAUCUGCCAGCAGAUGGCAAAGAGGUGGGGCUGGUACGCCGUUACACUCUUGACGACCACAGGAUUUGCCAACCUCUUUGCCAUCUGCUGGCAGAUGACAAAGAUUAUUUGCCAUCCACUAGCAGAUGACAAAGAAUUGGCUGAUGGCAACCAUGUUCUUUGUCGUCUGUCAGUUCUUUGCCAUCUGAUUUUUAUAAGAAGAUGGCAAAGACGUUCUUUGCCAUCAGCUGACAGAUGGCAAAGAGCUGGUUGAUGGCAAAUUCCUUGUUUCCAGUAGUGCAGGCUGUUUGGAUAGUACUUGUCGUCAUCUAGCCAACAAGCUUGAGUUUUCUCAAUUCAGAGCUCAUAUGCAGAAGUUACGACAGUUCUGGUUUUCCUGCAUCCUUCUAUUUGCUUGGGCUAUUUUGAAGCUCACUAGCGGUAAUACCGCCCUGGGUAGUGGUAGUAGCGCUUGCGCGGUACUUCCACGGUUCCAGUGUCGCGGGAACUUCCGCUUAUUCAUGGGCUUCUGGAUACUUUGUCAUCUCAGCGGGAGUCGGGUGGUAGUAGAGCGCGGUAGUACCGCUUGCACGGUACUUCCGGCCUUCUACUACCGCUGGAACCUUCGCUUAUAUUUUUGCCUCCAGAUACGUUUUCCCUCUGCGUGGAAGUAGAGCGACAGUACUGGGUGGUAGUACCGCUCCAUGCAGUAGUACCGCGCUGCCCUACUCUACUACCGCGGUUUCACCUGUACACGCAACACCUAGCGGUAGUACCGCUGGUGGGAGCGGUAGUACCGCUCCGGCGGCACUACUGCCUCCUUGAGUUUCUCAGUUUACAUGUUACGACUGAAACUACCGUGCCAACGGAAGUACCGCUCGCCCGAGCGGCACUACCGCUUGUGCACGGGCUGUGUGCAUAACGGUUGGAUUUUCCCUUCCUAUAAAAGGGGGUCUUCUUCCCUAAUGGUUUCAAUCACUUGAGUUCGUGUUCUUUCCUCAUUGUUGACCUUCUUCGAGCUUGCUAUCUCUCAAUCCCUCCAAUGAUUCUUGUUAGUUCUUGAGGGAAAAGAGAGAGGAGAUCUAGAUCCACAUUUCCACCAAUCACUCUCUCCCCUAUGUGAGGGGACCCUCUUGGUUCUAGAUCUUGGAGUUCUUCGUGUUCUCUUCUUCGUUCUUCCUCUCAUUUUCCUCCAUAACACUAGUUGUUGGGGUGGGAUUUGGGAGAGAAGGACUUGGGCACUCCGUGUGCCCUUGCCAUUCUAUUUGGUGCAUCGUUUUGAGUUUUCCACAGUGAUACGUGGAGGUAAAAGUUGAGAAGCUUAUUACUCUUGGGUGCUUGGUACCAUAGAGCUUGUUCCUCUUGGGUGCUUGGGCGCGCUAGACGGUUGGUGGUGCUUUAGAGCUCAAUCAUUGUGGUGUAAAGCUCCGGGCAAGCGUUGGGGUCUUCAAUUAGGUUGUGGAGAUCGCUCCGAGCAAUUUGGACGGGUUCUAGCGACCGCCCCCAAGGGUUGCCAAAGUGUACAGGUUUGGUGACCGCACCCAAGGGUUGCCAAAGUGUACGGGCUCGGUGACCGCCUCCAAGGGUUGCCAAUUGUAUGGGUUCGGUGACCGCCCUCAAGGGUCUCUUAGUGGAAUCACGACAUCUUGCAUUGUGCGAGGGCGUGAGGAGAUUACGGUGGCCCUAGUGGCUUCUUAGGGAGCAUUGUGUCUCCACACCGCUUCAAAUAGAGAUUGGCAUCCGCAAGGGUGUGAACUUCGGGAUACAUCGUCGUCUCCGCGUGCCUCGAUUAUCUCUUACCCGAGCUCUUUACUUAUGCAGUUUAUCUUGUGAUAGCCAUAGUGUUCUAUGAUAUAUAUUUUGCUAUCACCUAGCUAUUUAUCUUGCUUAGCAUAAGUUGUUGGUGCACAUAUAUGAGUCUAGUUGUUUUAGAUUUUGCGCUUGACAAAUUAAACGCUAGUUUUAUUCCGGAUUUGUUCAAGUCUAAACUGUAAUUAUCUUAAAAUGCCUAUUCACCCCCCCUCCAAGCGACAUCCCACGAUCUUUCACUUCCCGAAAUGGUGAAGAAGUUCCAGCCAUCUUAUUCCACUACACCGCUGUCACCACCACAUGCUGAAGAAACCUACCUUACUAUUUACGCAUCUAAGGCUCGGAUCCGGGUUCCUCCACUUUCUCACCGCCGGAACAACGGCCGAAGAGCGAAGAAACUGCCGAUCCGGCCGUCGGCGAAAACGAGGGACGAAGUCGCCUUCUUCUCCGCCUCCUAGGGGUUUCCUCAUGCGGUUGGAGAAAGAGAGUGUUCACAACAGCCCACGUUUCAGAUCCGACGGUCCACAUCUAUGUUUUCAGGUUUCCAUAGGUUUUUACUACACGAGGCUUUCUCCAAAAAGAAAGAAAACAUGGCUUUGGCUAGUGGUGUUCAAGCGGGGCGUCCCGAUUCCGGCUACUGUUCCGGCCCCAAGUCGGUCUGGUGAACCCUAUUCCAGUGCGUCCUACCGCCUCCGUGUCGAUUCCCACUACAAACCCUCCCCCGACCAGAACAGAAGAAGAGAACCUUUCGUCUCGGCGGUCCCCCACUGACCCCCGACCCCGAACCCUCGCCGGCCCGCCCAUCCAUGGACUUCGCGGAGCAGGACGUCGACGUCUUCGGCGAGGAAUACGACGGCGCCGAAGCCGAGGCCGAGGGCGGAGGCGGCGCCUCCUCCGGCUCCUCCUCCCCCUCCUCAUCCUCCUCCUCCUCCGCCGCCGCCUCCUCCUCCUCCUCCAGCGCCGCCUCCAGCGGCCGCAGCAGCAGCCCCGCCGCCGGCGGCGGGGACGAGGACGGCGCUGACGACGGGGACGGCGGGGAGUACGACUCGUUCGACGUCGUGCCCGUCAGGCCCGCCGCCGGGUACGGGGACGACGAGGAGGAGGCUAGAGAUUUGUUUGGCUCCGACAACGAGGAGUACGUCAAGACCCCCGCGCGUAGCAACUACCUAGUUCCAGGUCCGCCUCUCUACUGAAUUAGCCGCUAUAGAUUCUUCUGGGCCAAGUUCGUCUCCUCAGUGUUUAGCGAGCAGAAUUUCUUAGGAGAUUGCUACAUAACCCUAUCCAGUUUCUGUGUGAUUGGCUGGUUCUGUUGCUCGUGGGGCUCUGGGAGCUGCAGUGAGCGUUUGGUCUGUGGCAGAAUUAACCUUCUCGCUUCAGUACACGAUGAACUCUUCUUGCUGCAGACUUGUGUUCGAAUCAUUGUUCCAACUUUCAGCGGUGUAUGUCAGAGCAUAAUGUUGGAUUAAAUUCUCUGCUAGCAUCUUCUGGUUCUUGCUUGAAUUUGUAGAGUCAGAGAGACUUGAGUUACAAAAGCAUUAAGCAGAAGUACUGAAGAGAGUAGAAGAACGAACCAUGAAACCAUAUAUAUAAUUGGGUCACUGUGAGUUGGAAAGAUACAUUCGACUAUCUUCAUGUCCUUUUUGGGUUGAAACUAGACAAGUAUACUAAAGAACGGCAAUCUGUAAAUAACUAAAAUUCGAACUUAAUUCUGCAGUAAAUUACAACUAGGAAUAAGGCUGAAUCUAAUCUCAUUCUGUUUCCCAAACAAACUUGAUCACAGUUUCUUCCACAAUACCAUCUCACUAGACUACGAUAGAUAUAAGGGUUUAAAAAUCAAACAUAAUGAUCAGCACUGAAAAUGUGACUGUAUUUCCAUGCUUUGUGCGUAUCUAGCCUAAAUCAUGCUCAUGCUUUGUGUGUAUCUAACUGAAAUCUGCGCACACUCAACCUAUAUAUACUCCAUUAGUGAUACAUAACGCCCAUGCUUUUUGGCGGAGAAUGUGACGACUGGAUUGUUUCCCUUGCCUGGAUACUCGAUAUUCUGGGGACUUGGUAGCUAGUGCUUUGAAAAGUCCAGUGUAUCUAGGUUGGGAGAUAAGGCAUUAACACCCUCUUAUAUGUUCUGCCUCUCUUUGUAGUGCUGCCCCCGAUACGGAACACCAACAAUUUUUCUCGAGGAGGACGAGGUGGCAGGGGCCCACCUAUUCUUCCAAGGCCAGGAGGCCAUCCAGGAGGACGAAAUAAUUAUGGCCACGGCGGGAGGUUUUCAUAUGGAAAUGGGCGUAACGUUGAAGGUUUUGUUUCAGAAAUGAAACUUAAUAAGAGUGAAGAAACUUUAUCUAGGAAAGCGGUUGCUUUUCAAGAGGUGCAUAACAGUACCGUGUUCUUUUGAUUUUCGUUUGAUGUAUUUGUUCUCUGAAGGGCUAUCCUUUGUUACCUCAUGCAGCCAUGUGAGAUCGCAUGCUACAGCCGUGUUGAGGGUGGGGAUGUAUAUUUUGAUGAUCGCAGCUUGGUAAGAUCUCAGAGUUGUUGAUUAUCAAUUUCAUUAUCUAUGAGUGUGAACCUUUGAUUUCUGAAUACACGUUUUUUUUAAAGAAAGUUUGCCCUAAAAUUUGGCUGUUGUACUAAACAUCCAUUUUUGUAGAGGCUUUUCAAACGUAAUAUUUGUGACUAUGCUGGUGAAGAUCUAAAUAAAGGAUUUGAAACGUUUAUAGAGAAAAGAGGUACUUCCUUUCUGAAGUUAUGUUUGUUGUUUCUACAUUCUAGUUAAUACUAUCAACUCGAUUGUUGUUAUUGCCUGAAAAUUGUUCCCUACAAACUCUGUUUCAGUUGUCACAUAAUAACCUACACACAUUUAUAUGGAGAUCUUGAUAGCAUGGGACCUUUCCCUUAUUCUAUAUGGUAGAGUCAACUGUUUUGUAUUGCAGGUGGGUCUUGAAACCUUAAGUGAACCACUUAUAAGGCAUCUACAUAGAUAAACUUUUUUCAUAGUGAGUUUGCGCUAUUGUACUAUAUUUCAGCUGAGGUAUUGCAUCUGUGUUUUUCGUAAGAUUGGAUAAUUUUGUUUGCAUAUAAGGAAGGACCUGAAAGAAAAUAAAUCUUCAAGAAUUAACAGACUAACUGUUUCCAAUAUACAAUGGAAAGGAAUGAAAUUAUUGAAGUUAAUUCCGAAAUUUAUUUCUUGAACAGUAGGAUCCAUUAAUAAUUCAGUUAUUUUGGAAAUUUUUCUUCCUCUUGAAUUCGUUUUUAUCUGAGAGCAUUCAUUCGUGGUUAAUGUGGUGUAAUGCCAGAUUUGGGUUCUCAAGGAUUUGGCGAUCUUCUUGCAUGCAUAAGAAAUUCAAAUCUACCUCUUCAGAAUAUACAUUUUGUGGUAAAAUGCAUUAUUGCCAACUUCAUAUUUGUUAUUUUGGUAUGCUAUGCUUGGAAUUUCUGAUCAUGUAUAUGCUCCUCUUGCAGACGUAUCGCAACAACCUUAACAAGGUAUGGUCCUCUCAGUGUAGACUAUUUAAAUCAACAACAACAACAACAACAACAACAAAGCCUUUAGUCCCAAACAAGUUGGGGUAGGCUAGAGGUGAAACCCAUAAGAUCUCGCAACCAACUCAUGGCUCUGGCACAUGGAUAGCAAGCUUCCACGCACCCCUGUCCAUAGCUAGCUCUUUGUCGAUACUCCAAUCCUUCAGGUCUCUCUUAACGGACUCCUCCCAUGUCAAAAUCGGUCGACCCCGCCCUCUCUUGACAUUCUCCGCACGCUUUAGCCGUCCGCUAUGCACUGGAGCUUCUGGAGGCCUGCGCUGAAUAUGCCCAAACCAUCUCAAACGAUGUUGGACAAGCUUCUCCUCAAUUGGUGCUACCCCAACUCUAUCUCGUAUAUCAUCAUUCCGGACUCGAUCCUUCCUCGUGUGGCCACACAUCCAUCUCAACAUACGCAUCUCCGCCACACCUAACUGUUGAACAUGUCGCCUUUUAGUCGGCCAACACUCCGCGCCAUACAACAUUGCGGGUCGAACCGCCGUCCUGUAGAACUUGCCUUUUAGCUUUUGUGGCACUCUCUUGUCACAGAGAAUGCCAGAAGCUUGGCGCCACUUCAUCCAUCCGGCUUUGAUUCGAUGGUUCACAUCUUCAUCAAUACCCCCAUCCUCCUGCAACAUUGACCCCAAAUACCGAAAGGUGUCCUUUCGAGGUACCACCUGGCCAUCAAGGCUAACCUCCUCCUCCUCACAGCUAGUAGUACUGAAACCGCACAUCAUGUACUCGGUUUUAGUUCUACUAAGCCUAAACCCUUUCGAUUCCAAGGUUUGUCUCCAUAACUCUAACUUCCUAUUUACCCCUGUCCGACUAUCGUCAACUAGCACCACAUCAUCCGCAAAGAGCAUACACCAUGGGAUAUCUCCUUGUAUACCCCUUGUGACCUCAUCCAUCACCAAUGCAAAAGAUAAGGGCUCAAAGCUGACCCUGAUGCAGUCCUAUCUUAAUCGGGAAGUCAUCGGUGUCGACAUCACUUGUUCGAACACUUGUCACAACAUUAUUGUACAUGUCCUUGAUGAGGGUAAUGUACUUUGCUGGGACUUUGUGUUUCUCCAAGGCCCACCACAUGACAUUCCGUGGUAUCUUAUCAUAGGCCUUCUCCAAGUCAAUGAACACCAUAUGCAAGUCCUUCUUAUGCUCCCUAUAUCUCUCCAUAAGUUGUCGUACCAAGAAAAUGGCUUCCAUGGUCGACCUCCCAGGCAUGAAACCAAACUGAUUUUUGGUCACGCUUGUCAUUCUUCUUAAGCGGUGCUUAAUGACUCUCUCCCAUAGCUUCAUUGUAUGGCUCAUCAGCUUAAUUCCACGGUAAUUAGUACAACUCUGAACAUCCCCCUUGUUCUUGAAGAUUGGUACUAAUAUACUCCGUCUCCAUUGUUCUGGCAUCUUGUUUGCCCGAAAAAUGAGGUUGAAAAGCUUGGUUAGCCAUACUAUCGCUAUGUCCCCAAGACCUUUCCACACCUCAAUGGGGAUACAAUCAGGGCCCAUCGCCUUGCCUCCUUUCAUCCUUUUUAAAGCCUCCUUCACCUCAGACUCCUGGAUGCGCCGCACAAAACGCAUGCUGGUCUCAUCAAAGGAGUCAUUCAGUUCAAUGGUAGAACUCUCAUUCUCCCCAUUGAACAGCUUGUCGAAGUACUCCCGCCAUCUAUGCUUAAUCUCUUCGUCCUUCACCAAGAGUUGGCCUGCUCCGUCCUUGAUGCAUUUGACUUGGCCAAUAUCCCUCGUCUUCCUCUCCCGGAUCUUAGCCAUCUUAUAGAUGUCCCUUUCACCUUCCUUCGUGCCUAACCGUUGGUAGAGGUCCUCAUAUGCCCGACCCCUUGCUUCACCAACAGCUCGCUUUGCGGCCUUCUUCGCCAUCUUGUACUUCUCUAUGUUGUCUGCACUCCUAUCCAGGUAUAGGCGUCUCAAGCAAUCUUUCUUCUCUUUAAGCGCCUUCUGGACAUCAUCAUUCCACCACCAGGUAUCCUUGUCUUCGCUUCUCCUUCCCCUGGACACUCCAAACUCCUUCGAGGCCACCUUACGAAUGCAAGUCGCCAUCUUCAUCCACACAUUGUCCGCAUCCCCUCCUUCCUCCCAAGGGCCCUCCUUAAAUACCCUCUCCUUGAACACCUGAGCUACCCCCCCCUUGAGCUUCCACCACUUCGUUCUAGCGACCUUGGCACGCUUAUCCCGCUGGACACGAAUCCGAAAGCGGAAGUCAGCAACCACCAGCUUAUGCUGGGGUACAACACUCUCCCCAGGUAUCACCUUACAGUCUAGGCACGCACGCCUAUCUUCUCUUCUCGAGAGGAUGAAAUCAAUCUGGCUAGAGUGUUGGCCACUACUAAAAGUCACCAGAUGUGAUUCUCUCUUUCUAAAGAGGGUGUUAGCUACAAUCAUGUUGUAGAAUAGAGCAAAGCUUAAGACAUCUUCUCCUUGAUUCCUGAUGCCAUAGCCAAAGCCCCCAUGCGCCCCUUCAAAACCUGUGUUAGAUGUACCCACGUGGCCAUUGAGGUCUCCUCCUAUGAAGAGCUUCUCACCAAUUGGUACACUCCUAACCAUGUCUUCCAAGCCUUCCCAGAACUCCCUCUUGGUGUUCUCAUUGUGGCCUACUUGCGGGGCAUAUGCGCUGAUAACAUUGAGAACCAAGUCCUCAGCUACCAGCUUGACCAGGAUAAUCCGGUCCCCACGUCUCCUGACGUCUACCACUCCAUACUUGAGGCUCUUGUUGAUCAAGAUGCCUACGCCAUUUCUGUUUGCAGCCGUCCCCGUGUACCACAGCUUGAAGCCGGUAUCGUCCACCUCCUUCGCCUUCUGUCCUCUCCAUUUGGUUUCUUGGACGCAAAGGAUAUCAACACCUCUCCUCACUGCUGCAUCAACUAGCUCCCGAAGCUUCCCUGUCAGAGACCCUACGUUCCAGCUACCUAAGCGAAUCCUCCUAGGCUCGGCUAGCUUCCUUACCCUUCGCACUCGUCGAGUCAAAUGCGAAGACCCUUGCUCAUUUUCCACUACAUCCGGGCGCCGAUGUAGCGCGCCACUAAGGAUGCGACGACCCGAUCCUCGCUCACUUGCCACCAUAUCCGGAUCAAGAUACGGCGCGCCACUUGGGGGGUGACGGCCCGGCCCUUGCCCAUUUUCCACCACACCCGGGUUCCGAUGUGGCGCGUCGCUGAGAGGGUUACGCCCCAACGAAAAUCUUUUGGGUUUCAUCUCCAUAAGAGUGGCUGAGUUUUUACGUUGGCUUGCCAAGCCUAUCACAACCCUCCUCCUUUACCCGGGCUUGGGACCGGCUAUGUUGAGACAACAUAGGCGGAGUUAGUGCAGACUAUUUAAAUCAUAACAUUUUUUUUCUUUUCCGUUGCUGUAACUUAUGUUUUCCAUGUACAAGAAUCAGGUAGUUAUCCUUACAGCUUACCAUGUUUUUUGUAUCUAGUUUAAUUGAAUGACAGAUGCAUAUAUAUUUUGCAGGACACUGUAAUAGAACUGUUUUUUUUUUGUGUAAUUUCUUUUACUAUGCUUGUAUGCUGACAGAGUCUAUGUGACUAUUUGUAAAAUCGUCAGAUAUUGGCCACGGCUUAUCUAAAAGAUCCAUGGAAGAUGGGUGUGCACAAAAGAAACGGUGUUGUAUACCUUGAUGUCCAUAAGCUCCCUGAAAGACCACAGAGCGAGAUUGAGCGCAGGAGGUGACUCUCCCUUCCCUCCCCCGCCCCCCCCCGGCGUUCUUGUUGACAAUAGGAAGAGUUACAAAGGAAAUAGUGUUAUGGUAAUCCUACCUACGCAGGGGGUAUUUUGUUAAGUUUGAGUUUGAUGUUUCAUGGUGCUCUCUCUCUCUCUCUCUAGCAUUAGGAAGAUUGAGUUACAAAGAACAUAGUCGGAAUUUAGUAUGCUGAAUAUGGUGAUGCUUUGAGUUUGUAAUUAAUUCUUAUAGGAAUUGUGAUAGCCCAAGGGUAAUCUGGUAGGACUAGGGUUCCUACCGACUCGGUUCCUUAGGUUGUAGGGGCAGAACAGCGGAGGUCGGGGGCGAGCACGCGAGCUCCGGCGCGUCGGCGCCGUCGCGAGGGAGGAGAAGGGCGGCGGUGGUUAGGGCAGGAGAGGGCUAGGGUUUCCGGCUCCUCUGGAGCCGGGCAAUAGGAUAGAUACAUCUUUAUUGCUUAAUUCCGAAAAGAGUCUUACAACCUAUAUUUAUAACCUAGAUAACUUGCAUAAGAAUUAACCUAAGAUAACUUGCAUAAGAAUUAACCUAAGAUAACUUGUGGGCUAAGAUGCCUGGUGGGCCUAGCUAAACCGGCCAUAACACUUCUCCCCGCCUGCACAAACAACUCGUCCUCGAGCUGUAAGGUGGGGAAGCGCUUGCGGAACUCCUCGAGGCGAUCAGCCAGCGUCAAGCACCUUCUCGACAGCUGGGGCGGCCAGGUCAGCAGCGACGGCGUCCUCCGGAAUGUAGUCUGCAACCUCCAGGUAGAAGAGUCGCGAGCAGGCAUGGCCGGGCGUGUAGGGCUCGUCGCAGUUGAAGCACAACCCUUUGCGGCGACGCUCGAGGAGCUCGGCUGGGGUGAGCCGGCGGAACGGGCGUCCCGCGGUCGCGGUGAGGGGUGCCGCAAAAGCCUGCGCAGGCCGACCCGACGCGGAAUCCGGCCCGGGUAGCGACCCAACGGUCUGGAACGGUGAGUCCUGCUGGAUGGCCACCGCGCGGCGCUCGAACGCGCGGGCGUAGUACAUGGCCGACUGGAGAUCCUGGGGUCCCCGAAGCUCAACGUCCACGCGGAUGUGAUCCGGAAGGCCACCGACAAAGAGGUCGGCCCGCUGCUGCGCCAUCACACACGACGCAUGGCAUGCCAGAGCCUGGAAACGGUCGGCGUAGUCCCGCACCGUGGAGGUGAAGGGAAGGCGGCCGAGCUCCGCCAGGCGGCUCCCGCGAACCGAGGACCCAAAGCGGAGGAGGCAGAGCUCGCGGAAGCGCUCCCAAGGAGGCAUGGCGCCCACGUCCUGCUCGAGAGCGUAGUACCAUGUCUACGCGCCGCGGAGGUGAUAAGAGGCGAGCCAGGUACGGUCCGAGGCGAGGGUGCGCUGCCCGCGAAAGAACUGGUCGCACUGGUUGAGCCAGUUGAGGGGGUCCUCCGUGCCGUCAUACGUGGCGAAAUCGAGCUUGGCGAACCGGGGCGGCUGCUGGUGUGGCGCGCCAUGGCCCACUGCCUCGGCGGUGCGGAGGGCUGAUGACGGAGCCCGGUCCAUGGUGGGAAGGCCAGCGUAGUUCCUCGUGGCGCCUGACGCCUCGGGCUGCAACUGGGAACCCGACGGCGGCCGGGCCUCCGUAUAAGCCGGUGGAGGGGACGUCCCGUGGAGCCAGCCUGGAAGUGGAGACGGUGACGACGGAAAGCGGACCUCCUGGAUCGGAAGUCCGCUCGGCGUGGACCGACCCNNNNNNNNNNNNNNNNNNNNNNNNNNNNNNNNNNNNNNNNNNNNNNNNNNNNNNNNNNNNNNNNNNNNNNNNNNNNNNNNNNNNNNNNNNNNNNNNNNNNNNNNNNNNNNNNNNNNNNNNNNNNNNNNNNNNNNNNNNNNNNNNNNNNNNNNNNNNNNNNNNNNNNNNNNNNNNNNNNNNNNNNNNNNNNNNNNNNNNNNNNNNNNNNNNNNNNNNNNNNNNNNNNNNNNNNNNNNNNNNNNNNNNNNNNNNNNNNNNNNNNNNNNNNNNNNNNNNNNNNNNNNNNNNNNNNNNNNNNNNNNNNNNNNNNNNNNNNNNNNNNNNNNNNNNNNNNNNNNNNNNNNNNNNNNNNNNNNNNNNNNNNNNNNNNNNNNNNNNNNNNNNNNNNNNNNNNNNNNNNNNNNNNNNNNNNNNNNNNNNNNNNNNNNNNNNNNNNNNNNNNNNNNNNNNNNNNNNNNNNNNNNNNNNNNNNNNNNNNNNNNNNNNNNNNNNNNNNNNNNNGGCGGCGGCUGGCGGCGCCGCGCCGCGAGUGUCGGCGUCGGCCACUGUGGCCAAGGCGGCGUCGAGGCCGCCGGAGGGGGAAGCGCCGGGUAGCCUCCGGUGAUGGCCCCCGGCAUUGAGUACCACGACAGCGCCUGCUGACCCGCGGCCAUGGCUGGAUGGAGUGGUGGAGGUGGCCCGUACGGACUUGCCAAGUAGAGGUGGAUGCCCUGGACCGCGGCGACGAGGUCGUUGAGCACGCCGGCCAUGACCUCCGGUGUGAACUGCUGCGGCUGAGGGGGAGGUGACGGUGGCGGCGUGUGUUGGACGGGGGCUGGUGGCCGCCCGUGGCGCGGUGCCAGGUGCCGGGAGGGUCGGCGCCGAGAGCGACGCUGUGGCGCCCGCCGAGAGCGAGGCCAUGAUGCCUGGCGCGGAAGCGGCGGCGGUGGAGGAGUUAGCGGCAGCGUCGGUGGUGGAGUUGACGGGCAGCGGCGGUGGUGGCGGCGGCGAAGACAUGGUCGAAACCCGGGUACCUGAUACCAAAUUGGUAGGACUAGGGUUCCUACCGACUCGGUUCGUUAGGUUGUAGGGGCAGAACAGCGGAGGUCGGGGGCGAGCACGCGAGCUCCGGCGCGUCGGCGCCGUCGCGAGGGAGGAGAAGGGUGGCGGCGGUUAGGGCAGGAGAGGGCUAGGGUUUCCGGCUCCUCUGGAGCCGGGCAAUAGGAUAGAUAUAUCUUUAUUGCUUAAUUUCGAAAAGAGUCUUACAGCCUAUGUUUAUAACCUAGAUAACUUGCAUAAGAAUUAACCUAAGAUAACUUGCAUAAGAAUUAACCUAAGAUAACUUGUGGGCUAAGAUGCCCGGUGGGCCUAGCUAAACCGGCCAUAACAUAAUCUUUCCAAUUUGAGUUGUUAAUGCUGAUUUAAUUCUUUGACAUUUUUCUGAUCUGAUAUCAUGUAAUAAAAUAUAGUUUUUCUAAAAUGUAAGUAUCUCUGGGAAGCUUGGAAAUGUGUGAAGGGCUGCAUGUCAUUCUCGUCAUUUGCCUGUUUUAUUAGCUGGUGCCUUCAUGUUUGUAAUCAUAUUCGGAAUUGUCAUCACUACAGCGGAUGAAUUUGUAGUGAAUAUCAAUUUGAUACCUUUUCUUCCUGGUGCCCAUGCUUGAUCCUCAGAUGCUUUUGGGGCUAUUCUUUUGAAAAUCUUGCCACUGAGAACUCCAUUGAUGAAGACGGAAGCGGCAUUGAUGCAAAUGUAGAGUAUUGUUCUGUAAUAAAGACGAAAUUGGGCGCGCAUCGCAUUGUCAUGGGUGCUGAGAUGGACUGCUGUGAUUCAACCGACGAUGGUAGGCGGUUCUAUGUGGAGUUAAAAACAAGCAGAGAGGUUGUUCUUCUUUUCCAUGAGCUUUGAGUGUUCUGAUGCCACAUAUAUUCAAUCUAGUCACCACUCUGAAUUUUGUAACAGCUGGAGUAUCAUACGGUGGAAAAAUUCGAGAGAGAGAAGUUACUUAGGUUUUGGGUAAUUUCUUGUCCUCUUAUUUUUUAGCUAAUUGCAUGACACCAUUUUUUUUUAUCAUAACUAUCAUUUGCAACUUCUUAUUCUGUUCUCUUCCACAGCGUGAAAUUCUAUAUUGAAACUGUGCUCCAUAUGAUCUUAGAAAAGUUCCUUCUAUGAAGUUUCUUAGAUUUUUAAUUGACUCCCUUAAGUUCUGAGGAUGAUUUGUUUCUUAUAUGCGGGGACUGAGGAUAUAUGCUAACAACUUUACAUGGCGAUCUUGUUAUGAUUCUCUCUGCGAUCACAACUUCAGCUUCAUAGUAUUUUAUCUUCAGAAGUCAUAUCUUCUAUAUAGCUUGAAACAUUAACUUUUACUUUACUAAAUAUUACAGAUUCAAUCAUUCCUUGCUGGCGUGUCGUAUGUUGUUGUGGGAUUCAGGUAUUAUUCAAUCAUCACGGCACUCUUUGUUAGUACUUCAAGCUUCCUGUCAGAGAAUAAGUCCUAAGUCCUUAAUAUGAGAUGGUUUUCAAGAGUCUUUAUGGUUAUCAUAUAUGCAAGGAUUAUGGUAUGGGUAAUUGCUAUACUAUUGCUGUCAAUUAGAUACAGAAGGAAACCCAUUUCGUGUAUAUUUCAAAUUGCGAUGCUUAUCUGAAUUCUUCGUUGGGUUCUCAGCCCCAUACUCUCGAUUUGAAUGCACCAUACAUCAGAGCUUUAGUAUGUACUCCCUCCGUUCCUAAAUAUAAGUCUUUGUAGAGAUUCCACAAUGAACUACAUACGGAUGUAUAUAGAUGCAUUUUAAGUGUGGAUUUAUUCAUUUGGCUCCGUAUGUAGUCCACCGAGUGGAAUCUCUACAAAGACUUACAUUUAGGAACGGAGGGAGUAUCAAAUUAUCUAUUAUAACAGGCCUAAUGAUACAUAACUUUUUUGAGUUCGUAGUUCCUUCAGUUUAAUUUGUUUGACCACUUUUUAAGCAUUUUGUUCAAACCUUUGUGCUUACUGUUAGUGGUAUGAACAUAUCCCACCCAGUAUGGUCUUCUGUUCUACACAUUUAACACACUGCAUGCUACAUAACCUGUGGUUUUUGCUUAAUAAUGAGGCAUUCAAUCAGAAAGGCAUUCAAUUUUUUUUUUCGAGAAAACGCAGAAGACUUGCGUUUCAUUGUAUUGAAAAGAGGGGGUUUGUUAGAAUCCUCCUAGGAGGCGAGUUACAGGGCAAAUACCAGGGCAUUAGUGAACAUCCCAGGUUUGGGGCAGGAUGACGCGGAGGCCAAGGGCCCCUGCUCUGGCCCAAAGAGCAGCCUCGGCCUUGAUCGUGGCGAUCAGGGAGGGUGACCGAAGGGCGGUCUCUCUUGAAAACGCAGCCAUUGCGAUGUUUCCAAAUCAUCAUGGCACGAGCAGAGUGGCGGAGGCGAGGCCUUUGUGCAUCGGCUUGGGCGUGUUUCGUUUAGCCAGGCGCCACCAGUCGUGAAGCGUGGCGUCGUUGUUGGGCGGCAGGCAAGGGAGGCGCAGCCACGAGAGGAUCUCAUGCCACACCUGACGAGCGAAGGGGCAUCCCAGGAGUAGGUGGUGUAGUGUCUCUGGGGCCCGAUCGCAUAGCAGACAGCAGGGUGGGUGAGGCAGGUUACGGCGCGCGAGGCGGUUGGCAGUCCAGCAGCGGUCGAGGUUCGCAAGCCAGUGGAAGAAGCGCACCCGUGGUGGCGCCCAGCACUUCCAAGUAAGCCUCCAGGCCUGGCGAUGGGUGGAACCGUGGAAGGUGGCGAGGUAGGCAGACUUGGCCGAGUAUGCUCCAUUCUCAGUCCACUUCCAGCGAAGGCUGUCCGGCGUGUCGCCAAUCCUCUAACAUUGGCUAUAUGGUUGAUACAAUUAGGAAGGGGAGUACGAUUACCUUUUCUAUCUGACUCUGUUCACUGUUGUUUGCGAUGUGUAGAUGGAUUGGCUGUAAUGUUCAAAAUUGGUUUUAACUUGAUCAAGUUACACUCCUCUCUUUUUGGCUUUGCAGGAAUGAUGCUGGUGUACUUAUACGAACUGAGAGACUAAGAACUAAAGAUAUCACACAAAAAGUGAAAGCAAAGAGCUACUGGCAGGUAUACCAAAUUAAUUCCGUGUUGUUUAUUCACAACAGUGGAGUCUGAUAUGUAAAGGAAGAACAUGAGUGUGAGUAUAAUAUUAGAACUUAGAAGAGCAUAAUAACCUAUAUAAAAAAGUCGAAUAACUGGUUUGUCUUACAAAAUCUUAAAUAAUAGUGGAAAGGAGUGUACACUUACCAUUACUCUGAUGCCGCAUUCGCCUUUUCUGUUUUGACACGUAGGAUAAUUGAUAACUACCCUCUUUUGUAGGAGUACCAAAUUACUUGCUAUGCAACAUAUAUGUGACUAGCUCAAUUUUAAUUAAAUAUAUGGUUUUUAAUUACUUUCUUGCACUUCCCACUGUAAUAUUCAGGGUGGUGUCUGCUUGGCCUUUGCUGACGAGGUUUUAUGCUGGCUGUAUGGCACUGUCAAAGAAAGUGAGAAUUCCUUCACCACUCUACUAUAUGCAUUCACCUUCCUCUCUAAAAAAUAUGCACUUGUUGCCAUUCAUAAUCCUGAGUAGUUCUCUUCACGUGCGUGAUAUCGUUUGCCCCAUCUCUUGUAGAUGAAGACUACGUUCUGCAAUUUGCACACCCGUUCCAUCGAUUGGAACUAUUAAAAGCCCAAUCUCCGUGCCCCGAUGCAAUAACUCUGCAUGUGGAACAGCUCACCGGUGCAACAAACUAAUCUGUUCCCAAGCAAAGCUUCGGCGCUGAUGUUUCGCUAAACGGACAGUUUUGACGGACCUUACGUAGAAGCGUCGCGUCUUAGAAUGGCUUGAGCUAUAGUUCGAGGGGCUGAUGCGGAUGCAUAAGAGACUGACAGGGUCAUGCUAUAUGGUCGGUCGGUAACUGGGGGCAGCUAUGGUCACGGUUUGCUCUUUGAGUGCCCAAAGAGAUUUUGAAGCCAUCGAACACUGUAUUUCUUCUGUAAUACCAAGUUAUAAAUUAGGGAAGUGCAGAGUUACACAGCCAUUGUAACGGUUCAUCGCUCAAGGCACCAACGAUGUGUAACUUUUGCACCAAUGAUGAUAUUGAAUUUUAGAGACGGACGCUGCCAUGCCAUAGUAACAUGUGAAGAACACCCCUUGGAGUUAUGUAAUCUAGCGGUAUAUGCUAAGAGUUUAUUUUCAGCUUAUUAUGGAGAACAUCUGAUACGGCAUGGUUAGUCCAUGCUUUUUUUUUUUACCCAAGAACCGGCCGGAGCACUGCAUUUUCAUUUUUAUAUUGAAAGCAGGGUUUAUAAGUUUUUGUAGGGAAACUCAUCAAAACCCAUGAGACGUGGUUGUACCAUGUUCUUGAUCUGUUUUCUUAACGAAUUUAUUACUUUGUUUGUAACUUCAAAUGUGUGUAUCUAGCACAUUUGCAUCUUGUAUUGUUAGAUACUUAUGACUAGACACAUAAGACGUCUAACAUGUUUAAUGACUGUUGACUGUUUACAACCACCUCCCCAUCAAUUUCAAAUGUUUGAUGAGGGAUCAAUGUUGAAGAUGGUCAAUAAAAGAAGCAACUGAGGGAGUGGUAGAAAAUAACAUCAUCGAGUCGCUCGAGAAAUAGACGCUCCAAGAAGAAAUCAGAAAGUGACGGUAGUUAUAGACACCAGUGACAUCUGGCUUUUCCUUUUGGGUCGGCAGCUCUGACCGGAAGACAAAGAACAAAUAAGAGAAGCCGGUGUAGUAAGCAAACUCAAUUAGAUGCUCCAAAUGACGUUGCUAUACCACUACUAUAAGUCUGCUUGAGUUGACAAAGUCUAAGAUACACCACACAGCUUGCAAUCGCCGAGUCCGCCCGUCGUUGUUUCGCACCUAAUACCCCCCCGCCGCCCACACACACACCACCUUCACCAGCACCCAACUUUACCUGCUGAUUCCAAAGAGCAAAUCAAUGGCAGACACAGUCUGCUCUGCCGUCGCCGGUGAGGCAGUGCAAAGAUUAUGUUUGCUUUUAUCAGGGGAAAACGAGACCGGCGAGAUGAAGGUGGAUCGAGUAGAAAUGGCCGUGCUCAAGCUCGAGACCAUCAUCGCCAUCUCCGAAGACUGGCAGGUCACGCACGCCCCGCUGCUCCGUUGGAAGGCCAAGUUGAAGCGUGUGAUCAAGGAAGGCAAAGGCAUCAUACGCUCCAACAAAAGAAACACCAGUGCCUUGGAGGAGCUGGGGAAGGCGCGAAGCAACUCCUUCCCACGGCGCGUGGCGCGAGCAGCCAAGCGGUUCAUGCCGUUCAGCCGGGGUACAACUUCCGGGGACGAUCUGACCGACUCCGCGGUAAGGAGGUUCGAGAGGAUAGCCGACGGCGCCGACGGCUUCUUCGAGCUCGUCAGGUGCGGCGGCCGUCCCAAGACCCUCAUGUUCCUCCCGUCGUUCGCGCGGUCGUUGGCGGCUGGGGAAGCGGCGGAACUGUCGCUCAGGAUGGAGGGCGGCACCGCGGUGAUGCUGCUCCAGCCAUGGUGGCUUGAGCUCGAAGGAGGCGACGGGACGGCGGCGGCGGCGGCGUGCCUGUGGAUGUCCUACGAGCACGACGUGGCGUGGGAGAAGAACUUCAAGAUGAUGGCGGCGUUCCGUUUCUCCGAGUCCCUGGACACCAUGAGGGUCGCCACGAGCUGCGUCGAGCUCCUCCCGCCCCAGUUCGGCGCUGCCCGUGAGGCCAUGAAGGAUCUCCUCGCCGAGAUGGCCGUCCACGGAAGGAACUCCCCUGCUCCGUCUGCCAUGUACCCGUCCUUCGUUCGCGCCGUCCAACGCUGCCACCGCUACGGCUUCGAGCCGACGCGGCCCCGCGCCGCGCCACGGUCACGGUCGCCCGCUGAGAUCCUGAUGGCGUGCGCCCACUUCUACAUCCUCCCGCUCCAGAAUUCGUCCGGUUUGCCCUUGGAGCUGGUCUGGCACAGCUCCCCGUUUUACCUGCCCAAGAAGCUCUCGGAGCAGCACGAGCACGUCGAGCCGGAGCAGAUACGCGCCGGCCUGUUGCCGACGACGGCAGAUGGGUUUUCCUACCACGACGAGGCAGGAGGAUCAUUCAAGCGCGGGCGGCAGUGGUGGUGUCCGCACAGCUCGACGCGCCUGUCGGUAGUGCCGGUGUCUUCACCGCCCAAAUCUGUUGUGCAGUGGUGCAAGGGAAGUUGGACAUUUCGCGGGAAAUAAAGCUCUGUGCCAUCUAGACAUCUAGUACCAGUGUCCUUUUUUUAGGAGCAUACUGUAUCCAGUACCAGUGUCAGAUGCAUGAGGUCCAAAAUAUUUUCUAGCUAUGCAACUUUUCUGCCAUAUAAUUCACAUUUUUAUUGCUAAUUGAUCAAACUUCGAUCUUCAAAUGCGCGGGCACAUCACAUGAAAAUGUUGCUAAAUGGAGUAGAUUUCAAUGUAAGUUGUGUGCUCGGACCUUUUCUCUAAAAAACUGCACCUUUCGAGAGUAUUGCCUCUAAUCUUGUACAGUGUACACACAAGAAUUUGACUAGCUAAAUUUUAAUUAAAUAUAUGGGUUUUAAUUACUUUCUUGUACUUCCCACUGUAAUAUUCAGGGUGGUGUAUGCUUGGCCUUUGCUGACGAGGUUUUAUGCUGGCUGUAUGGCACUGUCAAAGAAAGUGAGAAUUCCUUCAUCACUUUUAUUGGUGUCGGCGUUCUGAGAUUGGGGUACCCAGACUUGUCUGCGUGCAGCCCAGCGCGCGGACUCCUCGACGGCCCGGUGCGGCCCAGCUAUAAAACCCCCAGGACAAGGCCCUUGCGAGGACCCCUUGCGAGGCGGAUGACGCCAAGACCUCUCGAGGAGCGGUGCCCCGGGCCUGUCUCCGGAGGAGCGGGGACUUCUAUGCAGGUACCCAGCCUCACGAGGCUCUCAAUGACGUGAGCCAUGACGACCAGGGCCAGACGAGCGCCAGCGGAUGCAGUGAAGGACAGUUUUCUCUUUGGUGCUAAGGAGGCAAGGACGUACGCGGGUUUCCAAGGAAUCCCCCAAAGGUUUCUUCCAGUGCAACAAGACCAAGACCACGAGCUCGGUAGGACGGAUGUCAUCGCCGAGCCCACCUCUGCGUCACGACCAGAAGCUUUGCAAGCGAAGACCACCUUUCUUCCGGAUAAAAUGUACUUCUUGUCCCCUUUUAAAUUGGCCGUUGUGGAAUCCCUUCCCGCCUAAGUUAUGAGGGAAGAUGACCAAUGCCACUAUAAGUAUAGGCUAGUCUCCACCGUAGAGAACGACCGGAUCCAUUCCACCUUCACACCCAGAGCCCUCGCGAGGCAGCUCAUCCAUUGUACUAGUUCAUCCACAACCUCCUCGUGAGGUCAAUCCACCACAAAGCAGGAGUACGGUUUUACACCACAAGGUGGCCCGAACCUGGGUAAACUAUCGUGUCCUUCCUUCCCCGCUCGCACAAACUCGAUUAGGCAAGGCCAUGGGGCGAUGGGCUUAAGGCUGGGGCUAGUUUAGAUCUUCGCACACGCCCCAAAGUUCGAACCUUGCUUGGGUCCGCGGAGCUCGAUUCCGACAUUUGGCGCGCCACGUAGGGGCGUGUCAAAAUCUCCCUUCCUACUCCGCUUCUUCUCCGUCCUGCCGCUCCUAUGGCCGACGCCUGCCGAGUCUGCGCCGAGCUCCGAGCUGCUCGAGUCACCCAGACGGUGCCCGUAGGCCGCGGUGUCCCGCGCCGCUCUGCCUCUCCCGCAGCUAACGCUGCCACCGACCCUGCUGCUCACAAGCAGCAAGACUCGUCGCUGCCACCCUUCGUGCGGUGCGAUGGCCGCACCUCCACUCCUUCUCUCACUCCCGCCAUGGUGUCAUCCUCCCACGCUUGUCGCGGGCUGGUGAAUGCGCAGGCUGCGCUGCUCAUGGCGCGCGAGAUGCUACGCUACCGCCUCGCCGACGAGGGCUACGACGCUUGGCUGGGCCGCAUCACCGAACUGUCAACGCCGCCGGUGAGUCCCCAACGCCCUCCCACUCACUCCACCGCCGCCCUCCCGGGUGGGUGACGUGGCCCACGGCGCACCUUCGCCUCCUCCUCUGUGUGACGCCGACCCCAAGCCUAGGCACGACAUGCCUCCGCAUGACCUGCUACCGGGGCGCCGUCGCGAGCACGGGAUGAGGCAAGCUGUCAGGUGGUGCAGCGGCCGCAAGGUGACGCACGUGCGCUCCCCGCACCGCCGUGCCAGCAUCAAGACCGCGCGCCGCCUAAGGCUGCGGCGUGUGGACGUCAAGAUCGAUCUCCCCUCGCGUGCCACUCCUGUGAGUGCAGCGGGGUACCGCACCUUCACCCCAGAGCCGCGCUGCGCCGUUUGGCCCAGCAAGUUGAAGCCAGACCUACCUCCAUGCUACAACAGCACCCCCGAACCUGCUGAGUUUCUCCAGCUCUACUCUUCGAGCAUCGAGGCGGCAAACGGCGAUGACAAGGUCAUGGCAAACUGGUUUCCCAUGGCCCUCAAGGAUGGCACGCGCUCCUGGCUCCUGCACCUCACGGAGGGGUCGAUCUCCUCCUGGGACGAGCUCCGCGAGUGCUUCAUCACCAACUUCCAGGGCACCCGCGACCGCGCUCCCGCGGUGAAUGGCCUGUGGCGCGUGAAGCAGCAGCCUGGAAAGACCCUCCACAAGUACGUACAACGCUUCACGAACGUUCGCCUCAAAACCCCUAAGGCGUCGGACGAGGCCAUCAUCUCGGCGUUUACCGAUGGUGUCAGGGACUUCAAGAUGCGCGAGGAGAUCGCCAUCCAUGACAACUUGUGCUCGGCCCUGGAGAUAUUCAACUUGGUGAACAAGUGCGCAAAGGCCGAGGAGGGCCGCCUCUCCCUCCCCGAGCAUCCGAAGGUCGACCCCGAGGACAAGAAGGCCAAGGCUAAGGAAGCAAGGUGCAAGGGCCCCAUGGUACUGGGAGCAGAGCCCGAGACGGAGCGCGGCCAUGACCAUGGUGAACCUCGCAGGGGUAACCGCCCGUUCUACGCAUUUCACAACGUGCAUAGCCACAACACCAAUGACUGCCAGGAGCUCAGGGUUAUCCGCGAUGAGCGCCUUGGUCGCCGCCCCGAGCAUGACGAACGUGGCUUCGGUCAUGGAGGAGGCCGCGGCGGAGGCCGCUGGGACAACCGCAACCCUCAUCAAGACUGGCAUGACCAGCCUCAUGAGGAUCCCCGGCGCGUGAUCAACCUUGCGACGGUCCCUGACGUGACCAGCCUCGUGAGGCCCACCCACAGGGUAAUGCCGGCAUCCCUCGCUGCCACCGCCACCAAGGAGGAACGACGACAACCAUCAGGACGAGGGGGUUGGGGGCUUCCAGGAGCCCCGCGCGAUCGCCUGCAUCCCUAGUUGGUGCCCAAGCCCCUGCAUAAAACCGCAUCUUCAAGCAGUUCUCUUGUGAGGUGAAUGCAGCCCUCCCGAAGCUUGAGGCCGUGCGUCCCCUCAAGUGCUCGCAGUACACCAUUACCAUCGACUCCAAGGACCACCUCAAGUGCUUGGCCGCCACCGAUGCGCUCCCCAUGCUCUACAUGCCCACCAUCAGCAACGUCUAUGUCACCAAGACUCUCGUCACUGGUGGCGCAUGGCUCAACGUUCUUUUCGUCGAGACGUUUGAGAUGCUUCAGGUGCCCUAUGAUCAGCUCAUGCCUACCAAGCCGUUCUCUGGGGUGACCGACUGGUCCACCGUCCCCUGGGACAGGUGCGCCUCCCUGUCAUCUUUGGCAAGCCGACAACUACCACACCGAGCUCAUCAACUUCGACGUCGCCCAUAUCAGCCUCCCGUACAAUGCCAUCCUGGGAUACCCUUGAUGGAAAUAUGUCCUAGAGGCAAUAAUAAAGUUGUUAUAUUAUAUUUCCUUAUUCAUGAUAAAGGUUUAUUACUGAUGCUAGAAUUGUAUUGACCGGAAACUUAAAUGCAUGUGUGGAUACAUAAACAAAUACCGUGUCCCUAGUGAGCCUCUAGUAGACUAGCUCGUUGAUCAAAAGAUGGUUAAGGUUUCCUAACCAUAGACAUGUGUUGUCACUUGAUAAUGGGAUCACAUCAUUAGGAGAAAGAUGUGAUGGACAAGACCCAUCCGUUAGCAUAGCAUUUGAUCGUUUAGUUUAUUGCUACUGCUUUCUUAAUGUCAAAUACAUAUUCCUUCGACCAUGAGAUCAUGCAACUCCCGAAUACCAGAGGAAUACCUUGUGUGCUAUCAAACGUGACAACAUAACUGGGUGAUCAUAAAGAUGCUCUACAGGUAUCUCUGAAGGUGUCUGUUGAGUUGGCGUGAAUCGAGAUUGGGAUUUGUCACUCCGUAUGACAGAGAGGUAUCUCUGGGCCCUCUUGGUAAUACACAUCAAAAGAAGCUUGCAAGCAAAGUGACUAAGGAGUUAGUUGCAAGAUGAUGUAUUACGGAACGAGUAAAGAGACUUGCUGGUAACGAGAUUGAACUAGGUAUAGAGAUACCGACGAUCGAAUCUCGGGCAAGUAACAUACCGACAGACAAAGGGAAUUACGUAUGCUGUCAUAAAGGUUCAACCGAUAAAAUAUCUUCUGGAAUAUCUAGGAAUCAAUAUGGGCAUCCAUGUCCCACUAUUGGCUAUUGACCGGAGAGGUGUCUCGGUCAUGACUACAUAAUUCCUGAACCCGCAGGGUCGCACGCUUAACGUUCGUUGACGCUAGAGUAGUAUUGGGAUAUUUGACGAGUGGUAACCAAAUGUUGUUCAGAGUCCCGGAUGAGAUCCGAGACGUCACGAAGAGUCUCGUAAUGGUCAAGAGGUAAAGAUUUAUAUAUAGGAAGUUAUAUUUUGGGUUCCAAAAAAAGGUGCAGUUUUUUCGGUAUUGUACCGGGAAGCUUGCAGAAGGUUCCGGAGGAUUCCAAAAGGGUUCGAAAGUCCACAAGUGGGUCCACCACGACCCAAGGGCUAUAAUGGGCUGCGGGGAGGUACCCUGGCCUUUUCGGUCUAGGCGCACCAAUUCCUCAAAAGCCCAUGUGGCUAGGGAAGGCAAAAAAGGAAGGAGUCCUAGUAGGAAUAGGAUUGGACUUGCAGUCCCAGUCCUCUCCCCUUAGCUGCACCCUAGGGCUUGGAGGUGCUGUUUCCCACGCCCCUCCACCUAUAUAUAGAGGGUAGGGGGCGCCCUAAGAGGAUACACCAAGCCCUUGGCGCCCCUCUCUCUCCCGCUACUCCAUAGUUCCACCGCCUCGUCCCGACGACGCUUAGCAAAGCGCUAUCGGUGCUCCACCACCACCAUCACCACCAUGUCAUUGUGUUGGUUGUGAUCCCAUCUACUUCUCCUCUCCCGCUUGCUGGAUCAAGAAGGAUAAGACGUCAUCAAGCCACACGUGUGCUUAACUCGGAGGUGCCUUCCGUUCGGCACUAGAUCGGUUGGAUCGUGAUCGGAUCGCGAAGGAUAUGACUACAUCAACCGCGUGAUAAACGAUUCUGCUUAGCGACCUACAAGGGUAUGUAGAUGCUCUUCCCCUCUUGUAGAUAUGCAUCUCCAUGGAUAGAUCUUGCAUGUGCAUAGAAAAAAUUUGGUUUUCCAUGCAACGUUCCCCAACAACCCAUGCCCUAAUUGACAUGUUCAUGGCGGCCGUUCAUCAUGGCUACAAUGUCCUCAAGAUGCCUAGGUGCAGCGGCAUAAUCAUAGUCACCUGUGAUGAGAAGGAUGCAGUGUGCUCUCUUGAGCACACUUACCGCGACGGCUAAAAACUCUGACAACGAGGGCGACAUCUUGCCUCCUGAGGCCACCCCCGCAAAGAAGAAGCAGCUCCUCCCCAAGAGCCAUCAAGAGACCGAGAUGCCCGCUAGAGGUGCCUCAGGCUCCACGCCCGCUACUGGGGCGCCCCUUCCUCCUGCAUAGGAAGGCGCGCCCGGCGCCUCCCUCAGGACGGGCUCAAGGGAUUCUGUCUGGAGAGCCUCCGAUGUGACCAAUGCAACGAGGGAGGUGUUCGGGCACCACUUGGAGGCGUGCCUCAGCACACGCCCACACGAGCAAGGAGCACGGCACGAGGCACCAGGAUCACGGGAGUUCAUCACAAGGCGAUCGAGGAGCUUCAGGAGGCGCAAGCCAUGCGUGGCGAGUGCCACCCCGCACGGUCUACCAGUGCAGCUGCCGCCCCUGACGUGGGUGGCGAGCUGCAAGUCUGGUCAACAUCCCGGGCCUCAACAGGGCCGCUUCGCAGGACCUCUUCUGGCCGUCGCAUGUCAGCCGUAGUGGUGGCUACCCCUGCAUCUACGUCCGCAUGCCGUUCGGCCUGCUGAACAUGGGUGCCUCGUACCAGCGCCUCGCGCAGCGUGCUAUGGCGUCUCAUGAGGCCAGGCGCUUGGCGGUCGCAUCUCAGGAGGUCCCGGACCCUUGCGAGCCCCCUGGGACUCAUGAGCUCCACAGGCCUCCGGAGCCGCCCAGCUCAUGAGGAGCAAUCUCCACAACACGCUUCUUCAGCUACCUCGACACUUCUACAACACCGGUGCCAGGUGAAUUUUUGCUUUGUUCAAAUGAGGGCGCCCCUCGGGCUGCAUUAUCCUCAAGCUAUCUGGGCCCGCCCCUACAGCUCUAUCAUUUUGCGCAUGUAUCAGAACUAGAUGGUGGGGGAAGUGUGUAGGUUGUUGAAGUCCUUAUAUGGCCUGAAACAAGCACCUAAGCAAUGGCGUGAGAAGUUUAUUACAACUUUGACAUCUGUUGGGUUCGUUGUUAAUGAAGCUGACAAAUGUGUAUACUAUCGCCAUGGUGAGGGUGAAGGAGUUAUACUGUGCUUGUAUGUUGAUUACAUACUGAUAUUUGGAGCCAACCUCAAAGUGAUUGAGGAGGUUAUGCCAUUUUUUAUCUCAGAACUUUGAGAUGAAGGACCUUGGGGUGGCUGAUGUUAUCUUGAACAUCAAGCUAUUGAGACAUGAUGAGGGUGGGAUCACACUUUUGCAAUCCCAUUAUGUUGAGAAGGUGUUGAGUCUUUUUGAUAUUCGGACCGCACCAUCUCAAACACCAUGUGAUCCUAGUGUGUUGAUUCAAAAGUUUGAAGGCACAACUCAGGAUAAAUUGAUAUACUCUCAAAUCAUUGGUUCACUCAUGUAUCUAGCGAACGCAACGAGGCCUAGCAUCACGUUUGCCAUGAGCAAACCGAGCUGGUUUGUUUCCAAACCAGGUGAUGUACAUUGGCAUGCUAUUGAAAGAGUUAUGUGCUAUCUGAAAGGUACUAUGAACUAUGGACUUCACUAUACCGAAUACCUGCCGGUACUUGAAGGGUAUAGUGAUGUGAAUUGGAUCUUUGAUGCUGAUGAGAUGAAGGCCACAACAGGGUAUAUGUUUACUCUUGGAGGUGCAAGCAAACGAUCUUAACAAGGUCGACAAUGGAAGCAAAAUUAACAACAUUAGACACGUUUGGUGUCAAAGCAGAAUGACUUCAAGAUAUUUUGAUGGACUUGCCAUUGGUUGAGAAGCCGGUUCCGGAUAUCCUUAUGAACUGUGACAAUCAAACUGUUAUUGCCAAAAUUAAAAGUUAAAAGGACAACAUGAAGUCCAAAAAACAUAUAAGAAUGAGUUUAAAAGUUGUCAGAAAAUUAAGAAACUCCGAAGUGACAGCAUUUGAUUAUGUUCAAAUGGCUAAGAAUCUGGCAUAUCCUUUUACUAAAGGGCCAUCACGUGUUGUGAUAGAUAAUACAUCGAGGGAGAUGGGUAUGUGAUGAGGACAUCAAUACCAUUGUUACACCCACAGCCCGUGCUGCUAUACAUACUGGACCAAUUACUAGAGCUCACGCACACCAAUUAAAUUACAAGGUACUUUCGUUUCUUGGUAAUGAUUCUAGUGUUCAUGAAAAUAUGAUGCUGCCUAAAUUGGAUACAUUUGUCUUGCUUACAAAUGAAGGGCCUAGCUUGGACAAGAAGGAUGAACAUUGGAGAAAGAUCAAGCAUAGAGAUGAUGGCAUGCGCAAGGGGAACAAGAACGGAGUUACAAGUGAUGAUUUUAGGACUUUGAAGCCACCAUAAUGAGUGCAUGAAGCCUUGGACAAAAUAUACAGGAUGUCACUUCAUAAAUUUCGUCUAGAGGCUAUCAUAGGUGUUGCGUCACCUUAUUAUUGGGCCAGGCCCAUGUAAUUUCGAAAUACUGAAGUAUAGGCUAUUUUUAGAGUCCGUAUGUAUGGGGAAAACAGAGUUAGGUUGGUUUUGGACCCCUCCUCCAAGGGGCCAUGAAAUUCCCCCCUCUUCCUCCAUAUAUACAGCCCUUAGGGCAUCGUUUAGACUAAAAGUUUGCCAUAACUGCAACUUCUCGUACUUCGUUUGUGUUCAACGACCAAACCAAGACGUCACAGAACCCCACUUUCAUCAAUAAAGUUUUCCUCUUAUAUUCGCAAUAUCCAGAUUGCAAUCUUAGUUUCUUGCUUGUUCUUCGUUUGCUCGCAGGAAAUAGACCCUCGUGGUUAGGUUGAUCGUGCUCCGGCAUGGUCAAUAACCCCUCGGAAGUUGGUUUAGCGAAUGCUAAGGUGCGACGUCUUCGCACGUUUGUAGUCAGAUCGUCAAACUCGACUCCCACAGAAAUGAUAGCUAUAUCAUCAAAACAUUGGGACACCUUUGCCUCUGUCAAGUGGUAUCAGAUUUCUAGGUUGCUCGAUGAGAUUUUCCAGUUUUUCAUAGUUUAGAUCGAGUCUGUUCUUCAUACCCACAGUCCAUGAAAAAGGAAAAAAAAAUUAGGGUUAGUUGAUCAUAUCCGAACCAAUCUGAGCCUUUGCAUAAUAUUUUUGGGGUUUUUGCUUUGUUGAAUUUGCGGUUGCAUCGUCGUGUCUAGUUACUGGUCUUAGCGUCUAGUACUUUAGAGUUUCGAGUUCUAUCACAGUUUGUCACGCCACCGCCGCACCAUCUUCAUCACUGCUGCCAUAUUCCACCACCGCUGCCAUAUAUCAACACCGCUGCCAUAUCCUACCACAGCUGCCAUAUACCACCACCACUGCCAUAUCCUACCACCGCUGUCAUAUACCACCACCACUGCCAUAUCCUACCACCAUAUAUCCACCACCAAUCCGAGUUCUUUGCACAUUAGGUUUGUUUCGAGAUCCAUCUAUUUUCUGAUCCGUGUUUCCUUGCCUGAGUAGGUUUCGAAAAAAAAGUCUGGAGAACCCCUGGUAGUUUUUAGGCCAAAAUUUUAGCUGGUGAAAAUAUUUUCCCUAUCCUAUUUUAGGCUUUUCUGAGUCUUUUGAGACAUGUGACAUCAUAUUGAUUUUUUAUCACACUUUUUGGUCAUUGCUGCCCUGAUUUCAAAAAAAAAAUAGUCAACAAAAAUUUCGUGCCUAUCCUUUUAUUUUGACUUGGGAAGAGUUUUGAGACACUCGCCAUUAUAGUGAUUUUCGACAAAAAAAAGGAGCGCAAAAACAAAGAGCGCACAAAAUAAUUCCUAAGUGAGCUUUUCCCUUGUUUCUGUGUCACAACGUUAUUUCGUUAGUGUUCUAGGCUCGCGUCUCUAGCACGGUCUAGUCUAGGACCAGCACAGUACCAUCGUUGAGCAUUUGUUCAGCUUUGCAUCUCUGAAUUGAUUAUUGCUGAACCUUUUUGCUACCAUAUUAUAAGCCUUCCCAGCUCCAUAUAUAUCUACAUCGUGAAUUUGACUCUCCCUGGUAAUCGCUCUAUUCAAGCUUUGAGAGUUUUGACUACAACGGUGGCCGAUCACCACUUGCUGAUGGGUAAGAAAUGGUAAGAAUUUGAGAUUUGCUUGAUGGAUUUGUGACACCCCACCACCACCACUUUCUAGUAGUCUGUAGGAUCAUAUUCUUGUGUGUUUCUAUUGCUGCUAACCAUGGCAGGACCACAAGCCGACAAGAUUGACUGGGAGAACAUGACGAAGAAGGAUCUUCAUGAUAAAUUUUAGCAAAUGUUGAGUCAACAGGUGGAAGACGUGAUGGCCAGCUUUGGAAAGGCACUAGAGAGGAUUGAUGACAUUGAGAAGACAAUUGACACCAAGUUGGAUGCCAAGUUUGAUGAAGUACUCACCUACCACAACCACCACCCGCAUCUGCUACACCAUUGCAACAACAUCAACAACCACCUCCACGCCGCGAUCCAGCAGGGCAAGCGCAACGUGUUCCUAUUGAGCCAGGACAAACUUUUGGUGCCGCUGCUACUGUUGUUGAUGCUUAUGUAGCUCCUGCUACUACUGCAGAGGUGGAGGACUAUUAUGAGGAUGAGGUUGAUCAAAAUCAGAACUACGUGCAACCACCAGCACCACCACCACCAGGUCGACCUCAUGCAUAUAAUCGCAAUGGUAGGGCUGCACCACCACCUCAGGUACGAGAUUAUGACCAUAUUCCUAAACUAAAAUUGAAUAUUCCACUGUUUGAGGGUAGAUACAUUCCUGAUGUAUAUCUUACUUGGGAGUUAGAAACUGAACAAUGUUUCACAUGCUUGCAAUAUCCUGAAGAUAGACGUGUUGCUGCUACUAUUUGUAAAUCCACCUAUUUUGCUUCUGUUUGGUGGUCUGAACAUUGUAGAUUAUAUCAUGAUAAUAUCCCUACUACUUGGGCUGCUUUGAAAACUGCUAUGCGUACUCGUUGGGUUCCACCAUAUUAUCAACGUGAAUUACUUCAAAAACUGCAGCGUUUGAGACAAGAAAAAAAUUAUGUAGAGGAGUAUUAUCAGGAAUUACAAACUCGCAUGAUUAGAUGUGGUAUUGUUGAGGAUAAUUAAGCUAUGCUUGCACGUUUUAUAGGUGGAUUAAAUAGAGAGAUUCAGACAUUUUAGAAUAUAAGGAGUAUAACAAUAUCACUCGUUUAUUCCAUCUUGCUUUCAAAGCUGAACGUGAAGUGCAAGAUCGACAAGCAUUGUCGCUGACUAAUUUUUUUGCAGGUCGACCUUCAUCAUAGACAUCGCGUGCAUCUUCUACUUCCACAUGUUCUGCUUGAUACGUUCCAUCGUAUCUACUUUUCCAAACACUUUUUUCCCUUGUUUUGUACUCUAACUUGCAUGAUUUGAAUGGAACUAACCCGAACUGACGUUGUUUUCAGCAGAACUGCCAUGGUGUUAUUUUUGUGCAAAAAUAAAAGUUCUCGGAAUGACCUGAAAAUGCACGGAGCAACUUUUUGGAAUUAAUAAAAAAUACUGGUGAAAGAAUUAGCACCAAGGGGCUCACACCCUGUCCACGAGGGUGGGGGGCGCGCCCCCUGCCUCGUGGGCCCCCUGGACCUCCACCGACCUCAACUCCAACUCCAUAUAUUCAUGUUUGCAGAGAAAAAAAUCAGAGAGAAAGUUUCAUCGCGUUUUACGAUACGGAGCCGCCGCCAAGUCCUAAUCUCUCUCGGGAGGGCUGAUCUGGAGUCUGUUCGAGGCUCCGGACAGGGGGAUUCA
rnacentral:lncRNA from 1 species